rnacentral:rRNA from 1 species
AGUGGCGGACGGGUGAGUAACGCGUGGGAAUCUGCCUUCANNNNNNNNAUAACAGAGGGAAACCUUUGCUAAUACCCCAUAUGCCUAUGGGUGAAAUGAAUUUCGCCUGAAGAUGAGCCCGCGUCUGAUUAGCUAGUUGGUGGGGUAAAGGCCUACCAAGGCGACGAUCAGUAGCUGGUCUGAGAGGAUGAUCAGCCACACUGGGACUGAGACACGGCCCAGACUCCUACGGGAGGCAGCAGUGGGGAAUUUUCCGCAAUGGGCGAAAGCCUGACGGAGCAACGCCGCGUGAGUGAUGAAGGCCCUUGGGUCGUAAAGCUCUUUUGUCAGGGACGAUAAUGACGGUACCUGAUGAAUAAGCAUCGGCUAACUCUGUGCCAGCAGCCGCGGUAAUACAGAGGAUGCAAGCGUUAUCCGGAAUUAUUGGGCGUAAAGCGUACGUAGGUGGCGAUUCAAGUCUGUGGUUAAAGCCUGCAGCUCAACUGCAGAAAGGCCCAUGGAAACUGAAACGCUAGAGUGCGAUAGAGGUAAGGGGAAUUCCCGGUGUAGCGGUGAAAUGUGGAGAUAUCGGGAAGAACACCAGCGGCGAAAGCGCCUUACUGGGUCGCAACUGACACUGAGGUACGAAAGCCAGGGGAGCAAAUGGGAUUAGAUACCCCAGUAGUCCUGGCCGUAAACGAUGGACACUAGGUGUUGCGCGUAUCGACCCGUGCAGUGCCGUAGCUAACGCGUUAAGUGUCCCGCCUGGGGAGUACGCACGCAAGUGUGAAACUCAAAGGAAUUGACGGGGGCCCGCACAAGCGGUGGAGCAUGUGGUUUAAUUCGAUGCAACGCGAAGAACCUUACCAGGGCUUGACAUACCGUGAAUUCUGGGGAAACUCGGAAGUGCCUUCGGGAACAUGGAUACAGGUGCUGCAUGGCUGUCGUCAGCUCGUGUCGUGAGAUGUUGGGUUAAGUCCCGCAACGAGCGCAACCCUCGUUUUCAGUUGCCAUCAUUAAGUUGGGCACUCUGGAGAGACUGCCGGUGACAAACCGGAGGAAGGUGGGGAUGACGUCAAGUCAGCAUGGCUCUUACGUCCUGGGCUACACACGUGCUACAAUGGGUCGGAUAAAGGGUAGCAAUCUCGCGAGAGGGAGCCAAUCCCAAAAACCGCCUCUCAGUUCGGAUUGUAGGCUGCAACUCGCCUACAUGAAGUCGGAAUCGCUAGUAAUCGCAGGUCAGCAUACUGCGGUGAAUACGUUCCCGGGCCUUGUACACACCGCCCGUCACACCAUGGAAGCUGGUCAUGCCCGAAGUCUGUAUUCUAACC